rnacentral:lncRNA from 1 species
AAGAGGAGAAAAAGGCCUUGUGUGUUAAGGGAGAUUGGGAGAGUGUUGAUUUGAGGCUGGGCCCUGGCAGUUCCCGGUCCCACCGUUACUACCCCAAUUCCCCCAAAGUCUAUGCUUGGGAGGAGGGCAGAAAUGAGGAACAAAAUAAGGAAGCGAUGCUGAAUGGUGUGGGUGGGGAGAAAAGCAUUUUGACCCCCAGAUAGUUAUUAUAGUUAUUUCCUCAGGCCAGCUAAAGGCUCCUGCAUUUCUGUCCAGACGCCCGGCUUUGCCUGGAAAUUGUUUUGCAUUAAAUUUUCUCAGCCGCAGAAUUAUCUUUCCUCGCCUCCAGCUAAACUUGCAUUUUUCCACCAGACACUUGGGCCCCGCACCAAUGAAAUCUGAGAGGAAGCGGCUGGGCCCUAAGUGGCUGUAAUUUAAUUGAUUUUAUCAUAAAUCAUCAACUUGAUGAAGAACCCGAGGUUUCAGUGAAGUAAAUUGAUAUUAAUGGGGGUUUCUUGAAAUGCAAACUCACUGCAUUGUUGGGGCAUCUUGAGCUGGGGACGGUGGAUUACAGUUUCCCAAGAGCUAAGAACUGGGACCAGUAGCCCAGCACAUCUUUGGGGGUGGGGUAGAGAAAGCAAGCUGCAAGGGGCAGCUGCCCACAGACAAAUUUCUGAUAAAGCACAGCAGAGAACGGAAGGAAC